rnacentral:rRNA from 1 species
CCCGCUGAACUUAAGCAUAUCAAUAAGCGGAGGAAAAGAAACUAACAAGGAUUCCCCUAGUAACUGCGAGUGAACCGGGAAAAGCUCAAAUUUUGAAUCUGGCGGUCUUCAGGCCGUCCGAGUUGUAAUCUAGAGAAGCGUCUUCCGCGCUGGACCGUGUAUAAGUUUCCUGGAAUGGAACGUCGUAGAGGGUGAGAAUCCCGUCUUUGACACGGACUGCCAGGGCUAUGUGAUGCGCUCUCGACGAGUCGAGUUGUUUGGGAAUGCAGCUCAAAUAGGGUGGUAAAUUCCAUCUAAAGCUAAAUACAGGCGAGAGACCGAUAGCGAACAAGUACCGUGAGGGAAAGAUGAAAAGAACUUUGGAAAGAGAGUUAAACAGUACGUGAAAUUGCUGAAAGGGAAACGCUUGAUGUCAGUCGCGUCGUCCGGGGAUCAGCCUUGCUCUUUUGCUCGGUGUAUUUCCUGGUCGACGGGUCAGCAUCGGUUUUGACCGUCGGAAAAUGGCUCGAGGAAUGUGGCACCCUUCGGGGUGUGUUAUAGACUCGGGUCGAAUACGGCGAUUGGGACCGAGGAACUCAGCACGACCUUAGGGUUCGGGGCUUCGGCCCACGUUAACGUGCUUAGGAUGCUGGCAUAAUGGCUUUAAUCGACCCGUCUUGAAACACGG